rnacentral:rRNA from 1 species
GGAAGUAAAGUCGUAACAAGGUCUCCGUUGGUGAACCAGCGGAGGGAUCAUUACCGGGUGUAAAAACUCCCAAACCAUUGUGAACCUACCACUGUUGCUUCGGCGGCCUCGCCCCGGGCGCGUUCGCGCGGCCCGGACCCAGGCGUCCGCCGGAGGCUCCAAACUCUUGUCUUUUAGUGUAUUUCUGAGUGGCAUAAGCAAAUAAAUCAAAACUUUCAGCAACGGAUCUCUUGGUUCUGGCAUCGAUGAAGAACGCAGCAAAAUGCGAUAAGUAAUGUGAAUUGCAGAAUUCAGUGAAUCAUCGAAUCUUUGAACGCACAUUGCGCCCGCCAGUAUUCUGGCGAGCAUGCCUGUCUGAGCGUCAUUUCAACCCUCAGGACCCGUUCGCGGGACCUGGCGUUGGGGAUCAGCCUGCCCCUGGCGGCGGCUGGCCCUGAAAUCCAGUGGCGGUUCCCUCGCGAACUCCUCCGUGCAGUAAUUAAACCUCUCGCGGCAGGAUAGCGGUUGAACCACGCCGUUAAACCCCCCACUUCUCAAGGUUGACCUCAGAUCAGGUAGGAAUACCCGCUGAACUUAAGCAUAUCAAUAAGCGGAGGA